UGUGGCUCUCACUAAAAACCAGGGGUUUCGUGCAUGACGUAUUUUUGGGGGCGGAGUUGUGGGAAGGCUGUUGUCGUAAGGGGAGGGACUUGAAUAGGGUCAAGGAGCAUGCGCAGAGAGGAACCCGCACAAUUCAAAAGGCCGGUGUGAAUCUGCUGCCGAAAAAAGAAACCGCUGGAGCAAGAAAGAUUGCCUGUGACUGAUGCAACAAGUGGUUCCACCAUUCAUGUGUCGGAAACUCACCUGAAGAGGAGGAGUUCCUUUGCCCUUUGUGCAAGAUAUAAGACAGCCCCUACCAACUAACUCAUCCGCUGACCCUGCUUUUAAAUGUCAUUGCUACCACUGUUUUCCAACAACUCUAAUCAGA